CAGGGAGACAACAAAAUGUUUAAUAUUAUUAUUUUGUCACCUUAGGUCGAUCGGUAUCUCACGUUUUUAAUUUAUUAAGAAUUUCACUUCCUAAGUUUUUCUAGGUCACACCCAUUAUUUUUCCUGGGCCAUUAGCUCAGGUGGUUAGAGCGCACCCCUGAUAAGGGUGAGGUCCCUGGUUCAAGUCCAGGAUGGCCCAUAUCUCUAUGUUGGGGGUAUAGCUCAGUUGGUAGAGCGCCUGCUUUGCAAGCAGGAUGUCAGCGGUUCGAGUCCGCUUACCUCCACUGAUUACCACCUCUUUCAUAACUGGUAGAAAGGAAAUGUAUUGAGUUGUGAUCAAAUUCUGAAGGAAUCUAGCUUCCUAAUGAAAUCAUUAAGAUGCUGGACUCAUUGAUUAAUUUCAUUGUUUUCAGAGAACCUUGACAACUGCAUAGAUUAUUUUUAAAGACAAUAAGCAUCUUUAAUGAUGCAGAUUUAUUAUUUGUGCGAAUGCAUUAAUAACAAUUCUAUUAAGCUGAUGCUUCAAUUUUUGAAGUUAUU
rnacentral:tRNA from 1 species